GUACACGCUGUGACUAGCAUAUCAAUAAGCGGAGGAAAAGAAACUAACAAGGAUUCCCUUAGUAACGGCGAGUGAAGCGGGAAGAGCUCAAAUUUGAAAUCUUCAAGGUUUUACCUUGACGAAUUGUAGUUUAAAGAAGUGUUUUCUGCUGAAGUUUUGGUAUAAGUUCUUUGGAAUAGGACAUCAUAGAGGGUGAGAAUCCCGUAUUUGACCAUUAUUUUCAGCUUUGUGAUACACUCUCAAAGAGUCGGAUUGUUUGGGAAUGCAGUCCGAAAUGGGUGGUAAAUUUCAUCUAAAGCUAAAUAUUGGCGAGAGACCGAUAGCGAACAAGUACCGUGAGGGAAAGAUGAAAAGAACUUUGAAAAGAGAGUUAAACAGUACGUGAAAUUGUCAAAAGGGAAGCGUUUGACACCAGUGUUGUUUUCUCGAAAAUCAAUUAAAAAUGGCUCGAUUUUGUAUUGCUGAGACCUUAAAAGCUCACAUGUACAUUUUUCGUGUCUUUUUUAAUGCACUUUUCGUUUAACAAGUCAACAUCAGUUUCUUUUGUUGUAAAAGGGUCAUUGGAAGGUGGCUUUCUUUUCGGAGAAAGUGUUUAUAGCCUUUGGCCUCUGCAAUCGAAGAGACCUGAGGUCUGCAGCGUAGACUCUUCGGGGUUAGAUACAUUUGUGCUAAGUUAUAGCUUUUUAUAGACAACUUGUUGACUAUAAUUAGUCUUGUAGCUUACUCGCUUAUGCUAUUUUACCUACGCUUAGGAUGUUGAGUAGCGACAUACGCAC
rnacentral:rRNA from 1 species